rnacentral:rRNA from 1 species
GACGAACGCUGGCGGCGUGCUUAACACAUGCAAGUCGAACGGCAAGGCCCUGCUUUUGUGGGGUGCUCGAGUGGCGAACGGGUGAGUAACACGUGAGUAACCUGCCCUUGACUUUGGGAUAACUUCACGAAACUGGGGCUAAUACCGGAUAGGAGCUCCUGUUGCAUGGUGGGGGUUGGAACGUUUCGGCGGUUGGGGAUGGACUCGCGGCUUAUCAGCUUGUUGGUGGGGUAGUGGCUUACCAAGGCUUUGACUGGUAGCCGGCCUGAGAGGGUGACCGGCGACAAUGGGACUGAGAGACGGAGCAGACGCCUACGGGAGGCAGCAGUGGGGAAUAUUGCACAGUGGGCGGAAGCCUGAUGCAGCAGCGCCGCGUGCGUGAUGACGGCCUUCGGGUUGUAAACCGCUGUCGGCUGUGACGAAGCGGGAGUGACGGUAAUGGGUAAAGAAGCACCGGCUAACUACGUG